AACGCUGGCGGCAGGCCUAACACAUGCAAGUCGAACGGUAACAGGAAGCAGCUUGCUGCUUCGCUGACGAGUGGCGGACGGGUGAGUAAUGUCUGGGAAACUGCCCGAUGGAGGGGGAUAACUACUGGAAACGGUAGCUAAUACCGCAUAAUGUCGCAAGACCAAAGAGGGGGACCUUCGGGCCUCUUGCCAUCGGAUGUGCCCAGAUGGGAUUAGCUUGUUGGUGAGGUAACGGCUCACCAAGGCGACGAUCCCUAGCUGGUCUGAGAGGAUGACCAGCCACACUGGAACUGAGACACGGUCCAGACUCCUACGGGAGGCAGCAGUGGGGAAUAUUGCACAAUGGGCGCAAGCCUGAUGCAGCCAUGCCGCCGUGUAUGAAGAAGGCCUUCGGGUUGUAAAGUACUUUCAGCGGGGAGGAAGGUGUUGUGGUUAAUAACCGCAGCAAUUGACGUUACCCGCAGAAGAAGCACCGGCUAACUCCGUGCCAGCCGCCGC
rnacentral:rRNA from 1 species